AUUGAACGCUGGCGGCAGGCCUAACACAUGCAAGUCGAGCGGAUGAGGGGAGCUUGCUCUCUGAUUCAGCGGCGGACGGGUGAGUAAUGCCUAGGAAUCUGCCUGGUAGUGGGAGACAACGUUUCGAAAGGAACGCUAAUACCGCAUACGUCCUACGGGAGAAAGUGGGGGAUCUUCGGACCUCACGCUAUCAGAUGAGCCUAGGUACGAUUAGCUAGUUGGUGAGGUAAAGGCUCACCAAGGCGACGAUCGUUAACUGGUCUGAGAGGAUGAUCAGUCCCACUGGAACUGAGACACGGUCCAGACUCCUACGGGAGGCAGCAGUGGGGAAUAUUGGACAAUGGGCGAAAGCCUGAUCCAGCCAUGCCGCGUGUGUGAAGAAGGUCUUCGGAUUGUAAAGCACUUUAAGUUGGGAGGAAGGGCAGUAAGUUAAUACCUUGCUGUUUUGACGUUACCAACAGAAUAAGCACCGGCUAACUUCGUGCCAGCCGCCGCCGUAAGAC
rnacentral:rRNA from 1 species